UACGGAGGGGGCUAGCGUUGUUCGGAAUUACUGGGCGUAAAGCGUGCGUAGACGGUUAUGUAAGUCAGAUGUGAAAGCCCAGGGCUCAACCUUGGAAUUGCAUUUGAGACUGCAUAGCUAGGGUGCGGAAGAGGGAAGCGGAAUUUCCGGUGUAGCGGUGAAAUGCGUAGAUAUCAAGAGGAACGCCUGAGGUGAAGCCGGGUUGCUGGGCCGACACUGACGCUGAGUGCGCGAAGGCCAGGGGAGCAAACGGG
rnacentral:rRNA from 1 species